CUCCAACCUGCUGCCUGAUGUGACUCUGGGAUACAGUCUGUAUGAUAACUGCGUCCAACUAGGAAUUGCAUUUCGUGCAGCACUAACCUUAGUCAGUGGUCAAGAAGAGCAAGUUACAUUAGAGGAGAACUGUGUAGGAACUCCUCCAGUCCUAGGGAUUGUCGGUGAUUCUUCCUCGACCCGUACUAUUGCCAUAUCCACAGUCUUAGGUCCGUACAGAGUGCCUCUGGUGAGUUAUUUUGCCACAUGUUCCUGCCUGAGUGAUCGCCACAGAUUUCCAUCUUUCUUCAGGACCAUCCCGAGUGAUGCUUUUCAGGUGAAUGCUAUGAUUCAGAUUCUAAAACACUUUGG